UACGGGGGGGGCAAGCGUUGUUCGGAAUUACUGGGCGUAAAGGGCUCGUAGGUGGCCAACUAAGUCAGACGUGAAAUCCCUCAGCUUAACUGGGGAACUGCGUCUGAUACUGGAUGGCUUGAGAUUGGGAGAGGGAUGCGGAAUUCCAGGUGUAGCGGUGAAAUGCGUAGAUAUCGGGAGGAACACCAGUGGCGAAAGCGGCUACCUGGCCCAUUCUUGACGCUGAGGCGCGAAAGCUAGGGGAGCAAACGGG
rnacentral:rRNA from 1 species